GCUUACGGCCACACCACCCUGAGCACGCCCGCUCUCGUCUGACCUCGGAAGCCAAGCAGGGUCGGGCCUGGUUAGUACUUGGAUGGGAGACCGCCUGGGAAUACCAGGUGCUGUAAGCAU
rnacentral:rRNA from 1 species